UACGUAGGGUGCAAGCGUUGUCCGGAAUUAUUGGGCGUAAAGAGCUCGUAGGCGGUUUGUCGCGUCGAAUGUGAAAACCCGGGGCUCAACCCCGGGCCUGCAUUCGAUACGGGCAGACUAGAGGCAUGCAGGGGAGAACGGAAUUCCUGGUGUAGCGGUGAAAUGCGCAGAUAUCAGGAGGAACACCGGUGGCGAAGGCGGUUCUCUGGGCAUGUCCUGGCGCUGAGGAGCGAAAGUGUGGGGAGCGAACAGG
rnacentral:rRNA from 1 species